CACAGGGACACAUGGGGACACAGGGAUGGGACACAGGGACAUGGGGACACACCAGAUGGGUCACAGGGACACACGGACACAGGGACACAGGAGGACACAGGGACACGGGGAUGGGACACAGGGACAUGGGGACACACCAGAUGGGUCACAGGGACAUGGGGAUGGGGAUAUGGGCACAGGAGGACACAGGGAUGGGACACAGGGACAUGGGGACACAGGGAUGGGACACAGGAGGACACAGGGAUGGGUCACAGGGACACAUGGGGACACAGGGAUGGGACACAGGGACAUGGGGACACACCAGAUGGGUCACAGGGACACACGGACACAGCCUGAGGACAUCCAGACCUGCCACAGGGACACGGGAGGACACAGGGAUGGGACACAGGGACACAGGGACACAGGGACGGGACACAGGGACACAAGGGCCACACCAGAUGGGUCACAGGGACACAGGAGGACACAGGGAUGGGACACAGGAGGACACAGGGAUGGGACACAGGGACACAGGAGGACACAGGGAUGGGACACACGGACACAGGGACAUGGGGACACAGCAGAUGGGUCACAGGGACACAGGGACACAGGGAUGGGACACAGGGACACAGGGAUGGGUCACAGGGACACAGGAGGCCACACCAGAUGGGUCACAGGGACACAGGAGGACACAGGGACGGGACACAGGGACAUGGGGACACACCAGAUGGGUCACAGGGACACAGGGACACAGGGACACAGGAGGACACAGGGACACAGGGAUGGGACACAGGGAUGGGACACAGGAGGACACAGGGACGGGACACAGGGACACAGGGAUGGGACACAGGGACACGGGGACACAGGGAUGGGUCACAGGGACAUGGGGGUGGGGAUAUGGGGACAUGGGGCCACACCAGAUGGGUCACAGGGACACACGGACACAGCCUGAGGACAUCCAGACCUCAGGGGAACACCCACACGAGUGACAGCAGCACAUCACGCGGUGACACAGGGACACAGCCCCACAUUCCAAGGACCCCCCAGGACCCCAGCUGGUGUCCCCAGCUCCUCAGGUGUCCCCAGGUGACACCUCAGUCCCCCGUGUCCCCCCGUACCUGAUGCGCAGGGGCUCCAGCCGCCACAGGGACCUGGCGUGGGCGCACACGGCGCCGCCCUCGUAGUUGAC
rnacentral:lncRNA from 1 species